rnacentral:rRNA from 1 species
GUAGGGUGAACUGCGGAAGGAUCAUUAUUG